CUCUUGUAAAUUAACAUAAGAGGUCCCGCCUGCCCUGUGACUAUGGGUUUAACGGCCGCGGUAUUUUGACCGUGCAAAGGUAGCGCAAUCACUUGUCUUUUAAAUGGAGACCUGUAUGAAUGGCAUCACGAGGGCUUAACUGUCUCCUUUUCCAAGUCAAUGAAAUUGAUCUGCCCGUGCAGAAGCGGACAUAAAAACAU
rnacentral:rRNA from 1 species